rnacentral:RNase_P_RNA from 1 species
GUGACGAGUAAGGAUGGUUGCCGGACGAGAGUCGUCUGAGGAAGGUCCCUUCACUCAUCUAGGCGACGACGUAGCGUAGCUACAGGGUGAGAAUCCUCCUCUGAGAACAGAAAUGAGACGCCCAUACAUCAAAUGAUGAUGAGACGGCUGAGAGCAAUCGAGAAGAUCUCUGGUGACAGAGGUUGAGUUAACCCGUCGAAGAGGUGUAUGGAACCGUUGAAACAGCUCACGGUCGUGAGUGCAAGCCCAAAUUAAUUCCUGAUGAGGAGCCUAGCCGAAAAGAAUGGGUAGGGCGCAGAGAUUGAUACCAUCACGGAAUUUCAAGCAAUUGACAUUCCUAACAGAAAAGGGCCUACUCUACUCACAC